AUUGAACGCUGGCGGCAGGCCUAACACAUGCAAGUCGAGCGGAUGAAGGGAGCUUGCUCCUGGAUUCAGCGGCGGACGGGCGAGUAAUGCCUAGGAAUCUGCCUGGCAGUGGGGGAUAACGUCCGGACACGGGCGCUAAUACCGCAUACGUCCUGAGGGCGAACGUGGGGGAUCUUCGGACCUCACGCUAUUAGAUGAGCCUAGGUCGGAUUAGCUAGUUGGUGGGGUAAAGGCCUACCAAGGCGACGAUCCGUAACUGGUCUGAGAGGCUGAUCAGUCACAGUGAAAGAGAGACACGCUACAGACUCAUGCGAGGGGCAGCAGGGGAAAAUAUUGGAAUGGGGGCGAGAGUCAGAUACAGCCAUGGCGCGUGUGAGAAGGAGGUCUUCGGAUUGUAAAGCUCUUUAUGUUGAGGAAAAGAGGAGUAAGUAAAUACCUUGGUGUUGAGAGGUUACAAACAGAAUAAGCAGGCUAUAACUGCG
rnacentral:rRNA from 1 species